GACGAACGCUGGCGGCGUGCUUAACACAUGCAAGUCGAACGGAAAGGCCCUGCUUUUGUGGGGUGCUCGAGUGGCGAACGGGUGAGUAACACGUGAGUAACCUGCCCUUGACUUUGGGAUAACUUCAGGAAACUGGGGCUAAUACCGGAUAGGAGCUCCUGCUGCAUGGUGGGGGUCGGAAAGUUUCGGCGGUUGGGGAUGGACUCGCGGCUUAUCAGCUUGUUGGUGGGGUAGUGGCUUACAAAGGCUUUGACGGGUAGCCGGCCUGAGGGGGUGACCGGCCACAUUGGGACUGAGAUACGGCCCGGACUCCUACGGGAGGCAGCGGUGGGGAAUAUUGCACAAUGGGCGAAAGCCUGAUGCAGCAACGCCGCGUGCGGGAUGACGGCCUUCGGGUUGUAAACCGCUUUCGCCUGUAAGAAAGCGUGAGUGACGGUAAUGGGUAAAGAAGCACCGGCUAACUACGUG
rnacentral:rRNA from 1 species